ACAACGGCUGUAUGAGGAAGCAUCCCAGCUACUCAACACUGGGAGCCAUCACCAGGCAAUUCAUCUCACUCCCAACUGUCCACUGUUUUCCCACAAGAGCUGAAACUGUACCCGACGCACUGACCACCAGACAGCCAGAGCUGAGCAGCUUGAAUUCCACUAGUCUUUACAGGAAUCCUGACGCAAAAAUGCACCUCAAUAGGCCUUUUGGUUUAGAGUUGCCUCCAUUCUACAAGAUGGAGAGAGAAGAAAGCAAUAAGCAAUCCACAAGGAAUGAGAUUCAAGAGGAAGAAGACAAGUUAUAAGAGAAGGAUGCUUCCCUGACAAGUUAUCAUAUAAUAGUUAUGGUUGGAACAAGACUCCUGUAAGCAAGUUGUUAGCCAAAACAAUAAUAACAACGAAGAAACCUCUCAAGGUGGCUCAUUGUUCUUAAUACGGCACAUCUCAUAUAGAUCUUAUUUCAAUUGAUUUAAAAGAAAUAGAGGAAGUAAGAUGAGUACAAACUAGAUAACAUCUUAAUCACUGUCUCCACCAUUUCAUCCUGACCCCGAUACCUCUGCAUCAUCUUCCUGCUGGGUGCCCUCCUAUUGUGCAUUCCUGUAUUCUUCUUUUUAUUAUUACUUGGCGACCUCUGUUCUGCUCAGAAUGGCAUGUGAAAUGACUGCUUGUGGAACUGUUCUCCAUUGUUAAGGAGACAAUAAAAGGAUGUCUGAUAAGCAUCUUACGACAGACUUUUCUCCAGCUGAAGCAUAUUGGCAGCACAGUUUUCCAAAUUUGCAUUCUACCUGGGCUCCACAGAGCUAGCUGAGACUCUUUGCCAAGGGAGGACAUUGUUCCUUAAUUUCUAGAGACCACAAGCACUUACCGGAUUGUGGAAGAUAUUGUCUUAGAGCUGGCUAAUUCUCACACUAUGAACUGGCAACUAAAGUCCCUGGUUGUUCAAAAGACUUUAGAACAUCCUUGAUGUUUCAGAAAACCUGUUCGAUUGAGAAGCAUGUGAGCAGGUAUAAUGUAGUCUGUGUUCAAGAAGGUGUAGAUUUAAAUAUGGUAGUCCCCCCUUAUCUGUGGGGGGAUAUGUUCCAGGACCCCCGCUGAGUACCUAAAACCUUGGGUAGUUUCAAAGCCUAUGCAUUCUAUAUUUUUU